GGCCGCUUGGCCCAAUGGUAAGGCGUCUGACUACGACUAAGUAUCAUUACUCAGCAAGUAAUCAGGAGAUUCUGGGUUCAACCCCCAGGGUGGUCA